GAAAGCCAGACUAGCUUGGCGCUAGCUCCUACAGUGAGUUCCAAAGCAAAGGACUAAGUGCUCAGGGAGGCAGCCCUGAGUCUACUCUACAAGAAGGGAACUGAGCUGACUAGAGCUGGGAAGCUGCCUAGUGCAAGUAAUGUAGCUGUGUUGGUCCCAAGAUAUUAGAAUGACAAGGAGACAAGUGCAUCAUUUGUCCAAAGAACUGGAUACAGCAUGGGAAGGACUGUUAUGAACUUUCAUCUGGAAUAAAAUUGUGGUCUGUGUGUAAAGAAUAUUGCUCUUCCCUGGGCUCCAGACUGCUGAAGAUAGACAGCAAGGAAGAGCUGGACUUCAUAAAACCACUGACAAGUUUUCCUUACUGGAUGGGAUUAUUGUAUAAUGACACCAAAGGCUACUGGCAAUGGGAAGAUGGUACUGCACUCACCACUGAUGUGUUUCCAAGUCUGAGAAGUUAUCAUGGUCCACAUUACUGUGCAACACUGAAAAAUGGAAAAGCCUGGGGCUAUUCUUAUGAAAGCCUAAACUUUUAUAUGUGUGAAAAGGGUCUGUUUAGCUAAAGUCUUCUGUAGUGGCACAAGAAUGAACAUAGAAAGUAUGAGGUCCUAUUUCGGAGCUAUAUUUCCAGAUGCUACAGUAGCCUGUAUUUAUAAGGCUCCAUCUUGUAUGGUGCUGAGUAUGGAGUCCAACUUAAAUCAUCCAACUCCGACAUAAGUUAUUUAAUUUUUGAGCACUGUGGUCCUGUUUCAGCAGUGCACAAAACAGGAAAGGGUCCCUACUAUGCUGUUAAAAUUCUCUGCUGUUCUCACAGAAAGUGCUUGUAAGCUAUUAUAGAAGGAGAUGGCUCCUCUUUCACUAGGAGGAGCAAUAACAACACUCCACUUCACCAACUAGCCUUCUGAUCUUGGCCCUUGUUGCUAUUGUUCAUCUGUUCCAAAAUCCUGAUCAGCCUCCAGAAUGUGACACUGCUGUGGAGCCAGCUUGAGGCUAUUCCCCCAGGAUUCACCCAUCUCACACGGAGAACUCUUAUCUCCUGUUGCCAAGAUACCAGUUUUUAUACAAAAUCUUUUUUUUUUCUAACUUUUUUU